CUUUCAGACCAGUUUUGAAGGACUGAGUAGGAGUAAACUAAAAGAGAAAAAGCAGGACAAAAGAAGCACCACUUUGGAAGCUCAAAGCCGCACUGGAAACACAGUCUUUCAGGAUGUCUGAAAGGGGCAAGUCUGUUUGUGUGGGGUAAGAAAUGCGGGGAGACAAACGGACAGUGGACAGAUUGCAGAGAGCUCUGUGUGCUGAGAGGAGGGUGCAGACCAGAUUUUUAAAUUGAGAAUGCAACAGUGAAGGAUUUCAAGCUUGGAGUGAGAGGGGAGACUACGAGCCUGCAGUGAUAAGGCAAAGCUGAAGAUUUCAGAGCCAAGGCCACACCCUACAGUUGCCAUGGAAUGGGGUGGCACAGUGGGCUUUGGAGGUAAAGUCUGCAGUUGAGAAGUUCAAGGGUAGUAAGUACUUAAUGCCAGGUCAAUCAUCCCUUUUAAGACACAGAUAUCAUCUGCAGCGUUUUCAGGAACAGUGAUAGAGAAGAAAAGCAGGCAGCUACUAGAUAUUCAAAUCUUCCGCAAAUGUCAUGGAGAGAGUCAGGCAGUUGGUAGAAGAGACCUGUAAAGCUGGGUACCAUAAGCCUCAACACAGGUGUUUUUAUUUCAAGGCUGGGGAGCUGUGCUUUGGAAAAGCAAUGAGGAGGUAACAGGAAGUCUCUUCUCCUUCUAAAUCCUGUGUUCAUGGAGGAGGGUGGGUUUUCUCCUCUUGAGAGGGAGUUACAUACAAGUUUAAGGGAAAAGAGUCUGAAGUUUCCAUCUAAAUGAUUCUGAAAGAAUCAGUUAAGAAGCAAAUCUGUUCCGAUGUGAUGCCAACUAAGUACAUGAUCUGAUUGUUCCAGUUAUCCUGUGCCAAAAAAGAAGCAAAAAAAUGGGCUUUCCACGGAUUAUUGAACACGGUGUCAGUGUGCCUGAGAAACAAGCCACUAUUAAAAGCUUUCUAGGCAACUUGAAUCAGGUUGCUGAGCUUUGAAAAACAUUCUACAGCCAAGUGUAGGAGACCCAAGAACUUGGAGAACAUACACGCUCUGAGCUAUUUCAAAAAAUACAGCAUUUAAGCCAAUUGAGCUGUAGUCAGGGCAACACAGGCAUGAAUAACAUGAAGGUAGAUUUUAGUAGAAGAGAAGAACAGGCAAGGGAUGCAGUCAUGUGCAUUUGAAACACAGGACAAACAUAAGCCCUGUUUAUCUCAAUAAAGUAAGUGCAGUUUGGGGGCAUUCUGCGGGGUGAGAUCAUUUGUUGGAAUUUAGAUGAGGCCCAGAAUGAUCCACUGGAUAUCAAAUCCACACAUAAGCCUCUGCUAGAAUUGUGCCAGAGUAAGGGCAAUCCUGGAAUUCCUCCAGGCAGUCUUACCACACCACCCAGAUGUCUGGUUUCUAGGUGAAUGAAUUGAAGAAAGAUCAAGAAAUAUAUGGUGGGUAAGAGGUAGGAGAGAAAGCCUGUGUAAAUUAAAUCAGAUCUCCUCAUACAUAAACCUACUCAAUUACUUCUAAAGCCUCCUUUUAUUUCUAACAUACAAUAAUUGAGUUAAAGAAAUAUAAUAUUCUUGUUUCAGGAAUAGGAAUUAUUUUCUCAGGCAAAAAGAAUCAAAGCUGGAGGAGCGGAAAGAUACAGGGAGUCCACGGAACCUUCCCUGCAAGCAUCAGUACAGAAGUCGAUGAUAAUCUGGAUGCAAGCCCAGGAGUGUGGAGUCCACUGACUCAGAAGACCUGCAUCUAAGGAAUUGGCUGUCCUUAUCCCUAAGAAUGAUGACUGUGUUUCCAAUUCCAGUAGACCCUUUGAUGCAUUCUGAAUGAAUAUUCCUUUUGGAAUUGAACUUCUAGAGCCCUUAACUUUGGCCCACUCUAGUUUUCUGUCUGUUU
rnacentral:lncRNA from 1 species